ACUCAGAGGAUUCGAUCAGAGCCGAUCCUGACCCAAGGCGACCCGCCUAGGGCCUCAAAAUUUAUGAGGCCUCAGCCCAUGGAUGAUGGGCCACCAGAAAAAAAAUAAAUAAAUAAAAUAAUGAUAAAUAAAUAAAUUUAGGGCAAAUCAUUUCAGCCUCCCCAAUCGCCUCCGUCUCUAUUCUCGUUCUCAACUCUGAACUUGACCUCUCUCUGUCUCUGCAACUGCAAACUACAAAGUCUACAAGAAUCAGAAGUUCAAAACCCAUAUACUUAAGUUUAUCUAUCUGUCUGCAAGAAUCAAAAUUUCAAAACCUAUUACCUAUAUCAAAACCCAUAUCGGCAUAUCAUUUCAGAUUGUUAAAAAAAUCAAAACCCAUAUCCUUCAGUUUCCAUCGCCCGCUGUUCCAGUACAGGUUCGCCGUUCGCAAGCUUCAGCCGCUGGCCGGCUGUCUCUCAACUCUCGAGCUUGCCCCCCGUCUCUCUGCAACUGCUAACUUGUUGAUUUGAAAGACUAAUUGGUAAAUUUGGGUUGAACUUGUGUCUUGAACAAGUUGAAGGCCCUUAUGGUGAAUUAAAAUUUUUACAAUUACAGCAUCCUAAGGUUCUACCAUCUUUUAGAGUGCUUUCAUCACUUCAAAUUGACUUUUGUGCUUUGAGCAACUUGGAGGAGCUUGAUUUGAGUGUUAGUGUAAAGGGGCUGAUUACAGUAAAAGGUAUUAUAGUGUCAUAUUCAUUGCAUUGCAUUUUUGAGUUUAUUUCAGCAAAACAAAUAUAUAUAUUUUUUAAUUCUAUAACUUCUAUUUCUUUCUCAUAAUCUUUUUCUCUGAUUUCGGUAUGUUUUUUUCUCCUUUCUUUUUAAUUUUAGUGUGCUGAUAAAUAAUGCAUCACACAUUUCGAAAUUUAAUCCUUUUUUAUUUUCUCUCGAAGUCGGGUAAUGAAAUACCUUAGAAAAAUCAUUUUUAAUAUGCAACUUUUUUUAAAAAAAUUUCUUUAUCCAUAAUAUAAAACUAAAGAACCAAAAUAAGAACUCAAUUAGUAAGAUUGACCUUAUUAUAUCCUAUUUUUUUCCUUAUCACUCCGAAAAGGCUUGAAAGGAUAUGAGAUAAAGGAAACUUUUGUUCAUUACAUUCUAUUUGAAUUUUUAAAUAAAUAAAAUAUGAAAAUUUUAAUAAAUUGUUCCCACUGGAAUGUUUUUUUCUUUUCAACGCAAAAAUAAGAACUCAGUUUUACUUUACAAUUAUUUUUUUUUCAAAAUAUUAUGUAUUGCAAUUCAUUUGAUGUGUAUUUUUAUCACUGCAUUUAUUAAAAACUAGAAAACAGUGACACUUCUCUGGAUUGUGUC